rnacentral:rRNA from 1 species
ACGGGAGAGUAACACGUGGGAACGUGCCCUUUGGUUCGGAAUAACUCAGGGAAACUUGAGCUAAUACCGGAUAAGCCCUUCGGGGGAAAGAUUUAUUGCCAUUGGAGCGGCCCGCGUCGGAUUAGCUAGUUGGUGAGGUAAUGGCUCACCAAGGCGACGAUCCGUAGCUGGUCUGAGAGGAUGACCAGCCUCACUGGGACUGAGACACGGCCCAGACUCCUACGGGAGGCAGCAGUGGGGAAUAUUGGACAAUGGGCGCAAGCCUGAUCCAGCCAUGCCGCGUGGAUGAUGAAGGCCCUAGGGUUGUAAAGUCCUUUUAACGGGGAAGAUACUGACGGUACCCGUAGAAUAAGCCCCGGCUAACUUCGUGCCAGCAGCCGCGGUAAUACGAAGGGGGCUAGCGUUGCUCGGAAUUACUGGGCGUAAAGCGCACGUAGGCGGACCGAUAAGUCGGGGGUGAAAUCCUGGAGCUCAACUCCAGAACUGCCUUCGAAACUGCCGGUCUUGAGUUCGGGAGAGGUGAGUGGAACUGCGAGUGUAGAGGUGAAAUUCGUAGA